GCCCUACCCAAAGCUACAGUGUGAGUUUUUCGUUUGUUCUCUUUUGAAAAUAAACAAAUUCAUAUUCCAGGAAAUAGCUGAAGCCAAUUCCCAAUGCAGCAGUCCGAAAUCGGGGGGGAGGGCCAGCUCGUCCACCAGGGCGUGGGGAGCGCGGCACCGCAGGGCAGGGCAAGGCAAGCGCACCGGGGCUCUGCCACACACACCGGGACACUCCACGGCUCUGCCACCACAUACAGGGACAGCCCCACAGCUCUGCCACACACACCGGGACACCCCUCAGCUCCGGGGGGCUCUGCCAGCACCGUCCCCGGCUCUCUGACCCCUGCCCGCCCGCAGUGCCCCAACAGCCGCCUCCGCCCUUCGCUUUCCCCGCAGCCCCGGCCGGAGGGGCCCGGCUCCAUGCGAGCUCUCCCCUGGCCUCCUGCCAGAGCCCCUCCGCUGGCGCCUUCCACGAAAACACUACAGCACACUUUUUAUUUGGUAAUUGCUAGAUGUAACUAAGCCUCCGAUUUUUAUUUUUUUUUUAACUCCUAUCUACACAUGCAGAAGGCGGAAUGUGACGUUUUAUAUGCCCACAUGCUUCACUGCCAGAGUAUUCA
rnacentral:lncRNA from 12 species